ensembl:lncRNA
AAAACAACACAAAUACAUAUAUAUAAUACACAAAUAUAAUUAAAUCAAGCUGAAUUUGGUCUCGGGAACUUGAAAAGAAAGUAGUAAUUUCUUGAAUUAAUAAAUUAGUGUUGACAGUUUAUAUUUGGUGGGAUAAUGCAGUUUGCCAUGAGUGAAUACAAAACCAUUUAAGGGUCUGGGAACAAAUGAGGAAGUAGCAGAACAGCGAUAACACACUAUACAGUAAUAAUGUAAAUGCCAUGUAGAGCACAUUUGGAAGUGUUAAAUUCUUGGUAUAAAGGGUUAUGAAUGCAAUAUCUGAGUGUUGAUUCCAUGGGGGUUAACACCAGUGGUAUAUCUGAGUGUUGAUUCUAGUGGGGUUAACACCAGUGGUAUAUCUGAGUGUUGAUUCUAGUGGGGUUAACACCAGUGGUAUAUCUGAGUGUUGAUUAAGAUGGCUUUAUAUAUAGUUAUAAAUCCGCGAAAGGCUUUGCUAUACUAUUUUACCAUAUAUACCACCAUCCAAAGUGGAGAGCUCCAUGAUUGAAGCUCUGUAGGUUACAGUGGAGUAGACCCUAGUGGGAGGGGGAAUAGGUUAUAGUGGAGUAGACCCUAGUGGGAGGGGGAAUAGGUUAUAGUGGAGUAGACCCUAGUGGAAGGGGGAAUAGGUUAUAGUGGAGUAGACCCUAGUGGGAGGGGGAAUAGGUUAUAGUGGAGUAGACCCUAGUGGGAGGGGGAAUAGGUUAUAGUGGAG